rnacentral:rRNA from 1 species
CGACGGGUGGCAGAAGUGGGGAAGAGUGGGCAAGGGGCGCAAGCCGGACCCAGCAACGCCGCGUGAAGGAAGAAGGAUUUCGGGUUGUAAACGUCUUUUGACAGGGAAGAGGAGAAGACGGUACCUGUCGAAUAAGCCACGGCUAACUACGUGCCAGCAGCCGCGGUAAUACGUCGGUGGCAAGCGUUGUCCGGAUGUACUGGGUGUAAAGGGCGUGUAGCCGGGUGGACAAGUCAGAUGUGAAAUCCUGCGGCUUAACCGCAGAACUGCCUUUGAAACUGUUGAUCUUGAGGACUGGAGCGGCAGCCGGAAUUCCUCGUGUAGCGGUUACCUGCGUCGAUAUUAGGCG